rnacentral:rRNA from 1 species
AAUGGCCUAACGGCUGAACCAGCAACUUGGAAGAAUGAAUGGCAAUAGCCAAUUGUAUUAAUAUGGUUUUUACAAUAUCGACUAUGUCGAAUAAAAUUCGAGAUAAAUUUAUGAUGAUGACAUUAUUUAUCUGUGUGUCUUGACUAAAUUACGUGCCAGCAGUCGCGGUAAUACGUAGCAGACUAGUGUUAUUCAUCUUUAAUAGGUUUAAAGUGUACCCAGGCGGUUGAUAUAGCCUAAAUAAGGUACUAUAUUUAACUAGAGUUAUAUAUGUAAUGGUGCAAGAAGGUACUGUUGAGUGUAGAGAUUAAAUUCUAUCAUACCAGAUGAGUGGCACAGGUUUAGGCGAAAGCAUCACUUUAUGUAAUAACUGACGUUGGCGGACGAAGGCUUAGAUAACGAACAGGAUUAGGUACCCCAGUAGUCUUUGCAGAUAAUGAUGAAUGUCAUAGGUAAAAAAAAUACUUUGUCUAUAAAUGAAAGUGUAAGCAUUCCACCUCAAGAGUAAUUUGGCAACAUUGGAACUGAAAUCAUUAGACCGUUUCUGAAACCAGUAGUGAAGUAUGUUGUUUAAUUUGAUGACCCUCAAAAAACCUUACCACAAUUUGAAUAUUAAUAAUGAUUUUUACAAGCGUUGCACGGCUGUCUUCAGUUAAUAUCGUGAGAUUUUGGUUAGUUCCAUAGAAUUAACGUAAACCCUUACUUUAUUUUUAAAUAAAGUUGUUCACCGCUAUAUUGGAUAUGAUAACAGG